CAUCCUAGUACUACUCUCGC
rnacentral:snRNA from 1 species